rnacentral:lncRNA from 1 species
GGCCAAGCUGGAAAUACAAGAACACGGAGGGACUCGGAGGACAUGACUUCUCAGUGUCCCUUGUAACUGAGGGGAGACUCACUCAGGCUGGUGGUGUUGCUGUUUACCUCUCCAUGGUGAGGCCCCACAAGGUCAUGUUCCUCCGGAGAAUGUCCCAGCACAGUCCGGCACCUCCUCCAGACAAAUCUCAGGCUGGAACUCGCCCGCGAGAUUGAGGUUCCUGCUGGGAUGGCCCCCGCCCCUGAGGAGGAGAACUGGACAGUGGUCCGGCAGAGUCUCCAGCAUAAUUUGAAAGGAAGUGGUUUUGUCCAGCCCUUGGAUCAUCCAAAGGACCUGGCCCUGUAUUCUGAAAACUGUCGUUCUGAACUUCUGUUGAAUGAACAAAGCAGGGAAGGUCAAAGACAAGGGCUUCCUCUAAGAUGCACCGCCGUUGGAGGAAUCCUUCUCCAUCAGAGUCCAAAGCGAGACGACUUUGACGAAGGUCUGCGGCUCACCCGGCUCUCCGGGCCCAGACCUCAUUUUGCAAAACUACGGGUGCUUCAGAGGGCUAGAAAGAGGCCCGGUGUCGCCUUCCCCCACGCUGGCACAGACAAGACGACGUCUGCUGGAUGCACUGGACUUUGUCUUUGGCAUGUGUGUCUUGGCCUUGACCUGAACCAUGCUAACCUUUCAAGUUGCAUCUCUUCCUGCUUCCCGACACACACCUGGAGCUCCCGGCGCAUUGGAACCUUCACAGUUCCUCGCGCACGCUGUGCUUUAACAUCUCCAGGUCUCUGUGCACAGCCUUUCCUCUGUCUGCAGGUACCUCUUCCUUUUCUACCCAGAAGAAAACCACUUACUCUCCGAGAAGCUGAUCAGGUACUGCUUCCUUGGUGAAGCCUCUCCAAAGCCCCCAGUUGGUCACUCCCCCUCUGUGUUCCUAGCGUCCUUUGGGGAAACCUUGGUUAUUGUAUUUUAAUUAAUUAUUUGCGUGUCUUCCUGCCCCACAGCCAGGCCGUGAGUUCUUUGGGGCAGUCGGCUUCCCCCAUCUUUGGAUCUUCACAGCUUGGUCGCUUGGUGAAUGCUCAUCUACUGCCUGAAGAGUCAGAAUUGAGGCUUCAGGCGUUUGACUUCAAGCGCUAACCUCUAGGCUGUUAAGAUAAAGAAAACUGAACAUAACACGUAGUGAUGUGUUGGAGACUUCUCCAUUUACAGCACUCUAAAAGGUUUGUUACAAAAUUUUGUAAGGAAUUUUAUAUACCAAAGGAAGCAUCAACUGUGUCCUAUCUUCCUUUAAAUACAGACAGGCUGUAAAUCACAAUUUUCUUCCCUUCAGGGGUUUUACAGCCUAUACUCUAUGAAUUUUGUUUAUGGUUUAUAAAGUCUAGAACCCUCUGGAGCCCAACCCCACCC